GUAGGUGAACCUGCGGAAGGAUCAUUAACAAAAUUUACCCCAACAAGGGUUUUUUUUUAUUCCAUGUUAUACCUUGUGUGAAAUUUAUAAAAAUAUUUUUUACUUUUUUUUUUUUAAAAAAAUAAAUCAUAUAAAUUUUUGAUAUUAAAAAAAAAAAUACAAAAACUUUCAACAACGGAUCUCUAGGCUCUC
rnacentral:misc_RNA from 1 species